UGGGGAAUAUUGGACAAUGGGCGCAAGCCUGAUCCAGCCAUGCCGCGUGAGUGAUGAAGGCCCUAGGGUUGUAAAGCUCUUUCACCGGUGAAGAUAAUGACGGUAACCGGAGAAGAAGCCCCGGCUAACUUCGUGCCAGCAGCCGCGGUAAUACGAAGGGGGCUAGCGUUGUUCGGAUUUACUGGGCGUAAAGCGCACGUAGGCGGACUUUUAAGUCAGGGGUGAAAUCCCGGGGCUCAACCCCGGAACUGCCUUUGAUACUGGAAGUCUUGAGUAUGGUAGAGGUGAGUGGAAUUCCGAGUGUAGAGGUGAAAUUCGUAGAUAUUCGGAGGAACACCAGUGGCGAAGGCGGCUCACUGGACCAUUACUGACGCUGAGGUGCGAAAGCGGGGGGGGCAAACAGG
rnacentral:rRNA from 1 species